rnacentral:rRNA from 1 species
AUUGAACGGCUGGCGGCAGGCUUAACACAUGCAAGUCGAGCGGAAACGAUGAAAAGCUUGCUUUUCAGGCGUCGAGCGGCGGACGGGUGAGUAAUGCUUGGGAAUAUGCCUUUAGGUGGGGGACAACAGUUGGAAACGACUGCUAAUACCGCAUAAUGUCUACGGACCAAAGGGGGGGAUCUUCGGACCUCUUGCCUAAAGAUUAGCCCAAGUGAGAUUAGCUAGUAGGUGAGGUAAUGGCUCACCUAGGCGACGAUCUCUAGCUGGUUUGAGAGGAUGAUCAGCCACACUGGGACUGAGACACGGCCCAG